UCCAUACAUGUUUGACUUUCAAGGUAUCCUAAAAUUGAUUAUUUAAAAACUCUCACAAAUCAUAUGUAGGAAAAUCCAAUGAAACUUUUGAAAAAUAUAUAUACUAUGUUGUGUAAAUUAUACAUCCUUUAUGCAUAUAUAUAUGUAUAUGUUUAAAAAUAAAACAUCACUUGUUAUAAUAAUGUUAUAUUUAUUAUAUUUAAUAUCUGUGUGUAUUUGGUGCAACAUUGAUUCAUUCAUUAGUGUAAAACUCGUUACUUUUCUUACGAUAUUUUAGUGUAUAUAAUUAAAGCAAUAUUAUUAUUAUAAAAUUCUAACAUCUUGUCAAAGAUGAUAUCACUGAAUCUCUGUGUUUUAUUACUAUCUAUAUUCCCGCCAAAUAAUAGGUUAUCAUAAUAGGACGCGUAAGAUAAGUACAUGUCAUAUUACCCUUACCAAAAACUAAUCUAGCUAUUUCCGAAGAAAUGUUCAAACAAAACGUAUCACAGCAUAAUGUACACUUUGAAACAAUAUUAUAAUACAAAUCUUGAAGGAUGUUGAAUGGAGUACCUUUUACGCGAAGCAAUGUUACCACCAUUAAAACUAUUUAUAUUUUCCUCCAUAUCAGUGAAAGUGGAAGGAACUUUUUAUAAAUUUAAGCAUUUCGUAAGUUCAACAGGAUUACUCCUUACUAUUUACGACAAAAGUAAUCAUUCUGCAUUAUUUAGUAAGAACCU